GGCUGAAAUUCGCCUUCAUGAAGCCGGAAUUGCUAGUAAUGGCAGGUCAGCAUACUGCCGUGAAUACGUUCCCGGGCCCUUGUACACACCGCCCGUCACACCAUGAGAGUUGGGGAUACCCGAAGCCUGUGAGCUAACUUUUAGAGGCAGCAGUCGAAGGUAGAAUCAAUGAUUGGGGUGAAGUCGUAACAAGGUAGC
rnacentral:rRNA from 1 species